CUUUUAUUCACUAAAGACAGCCUUGUUCAUUGAAAUGUUCUCUCAGUAAUAUAAAGCUAAAUCUCCGAGUACCCAGAUGGACGUUUACCUUGGAUAAUAAGUUUUCUUUACUUUAAAACGCAAUUUGGGCACCUAUUUCCUAUGCAACCACGACGAUCUAUUUACACUUGGCGAUUCAUCUUGCACUGUCUUUUGAGCACAGGGUCCCAGAUAAGUAUUUGCUUUCUAUUUUUAUCGGGCAAUAGUUAAGGAAAUAAAAAAGGAUUAUGAAUCUUUGUUAUUUUAUAUGUUAAAUUAUUUUCUGAUUGAUUAAGUUGAGGCCUGUUACGAGAGAACCACUAACCGAAAACGUAAGCAGAAGCGCGCAAUGCACUUUUUGUUCCAUUGUGCGAUUCAACUGCACCGUAGCUUUGACGAUAUUUUCAACUGCAGUUGUUCAAAAUAUAUCAACUAGAUCUGUUGCAAGAUCUGAUGAAUAUAUAUACUGAGGUAAUUACAAACCCGAUUAGGUAUCGAAAACGAACGAUACGAUUUCAGGGGCCGCACUAUCGUUUGUCCUGCUCGGGAGGGAUGUUUCACGGUGUGGAACUUUAUUUGAGACACAUCAAGUCGAAUCCAGUUGGCUACUGAUGCAGUAAAACCGCGACGGCAAUAAAUGUAAUAUCUGAAUGCAGUGUUUGCUUUUUCCUCUUUGAUUAAUAGGCGAAUUAUAAAUGCUUGAUUGCGAUCCGGAAUCGCACAUCUAAUGAAGGCAACGAAACGAUGUCAAAACACUGACUGCAUUAAUCUGAGUCUGAAGAAUUUGGCAAAGAUCCGCCCAUUGUCGCUGUGAUACUUAACGCACGUGGGCUGUAGUUAUCUGUUGCUGGCUGUUUUUUUAGGGAUUUAAAAAGGGUGUUUCCAAACCUCUUGGAGUUCUGGGCCUUGUAAUAAUUUCGAGAGAAGAUCACGGUCUGGAAAUUAUUUUAUCGGUUCUGUGAAGAAGAGCAAUAUUCUGGGAUCGCAGUAAAUUGAUUCCCGUUAUACACCGCAUUAAAUAUGUGGGAUUUGUCGUAGAAGUUGUUUAUGUUGGCAUAUAUACCUUAAAACUGAAAAUGAGCGCUACAAAUUAAAAAGUACUCAACAUUUGUUGAGAAUCGAAUUAUGUUUGUCACAGAUUUUAAUUGAAAAUGGUUCCAUUAAAAAAAGAAAUGUUGUUAUUGUUGAAUGGAAAUUGUAUUGGUGGUUUACAUAUGAGCGUUGUUGAUCCAUUAUAGAGCAAAAAUCCUUCAGAAAUAUUCUGAGCAAUAUUCUUUAGAUAUAACCUUCCAUAUAAAACACUGGGUAUUCAAUAAACAAUAUCCAAACCUCAACAGAACGAUGUCCACAUUCACCCUUAGCCGUUUUAGGAAGUUUUGCUUGGAUAAUCUGAAAAUAAAUUAAAUAGUCCCACUUUGAAGUCGUGGAUUAAAUCGUGAUUGGGAAAGAUGCAUUUACUAAUUAUUUUCACAAUGACAAUUUAUCUUUGUUUUGCUUCGAGAUUUAGUUGUGCCGGAUUAUGACCCAUCCGGCGGAAAGCGUGGUGCAAACAUGAAAAUCAUCAAGAAGUCUUUCACUGAAAUCGUAUACUCGUAUACGUAUAACGAAUGGCGUAUACUUGAUGCAAACACGAUUUAGUUUAACGAGAAAAAUUCAACAAAUAUUUAACAUCUUCACUUUUAUAAAAUUGAAAUAAAAGAUCUGAAUGAAUAACCGCUCCAUAAGAAUACCAGUCUCAACCACAGAUUGUAGCCAACAGGAUGAUAUAUUAUACAGACGUACUGAAACAUACAUGGAAACUGACUGAAGAACAAUAAUGAAAGCAAAUCAAUGCUUGAAAACUGAGUUGAAAAUGCAUACUACUUUCUCCAAGGAGCAAAGGAUUGUGCACUCCGCUGUCGCCAAUCAGAUAUAAAAUUUAAAUGCUUCUUCUAAGUAUUUUGUAAUGAAAGUACACUCACAAUAUCAUUAAAGGUUUAUUUGGUUCCAAUA